CUUUGUGCAAAUCUGGGGUCAUUGGGGGAAUUCGGCGCGGUUACAGGAACUUUCUUCUGGAAACGUGUGGGAUGUUGGAGGGUUUUUUGGUUUGGGUUUUUUUGGAAAAGUGCUCAUUGUCUGUCGUGAUAAAGAGCCUUUUUUUAAAACCUGCCUUUGUGAGGAAAACUGGUGAUUUGGUUACCGUUUGUGGAACUGUGUGUGGAAAUCUGCUAGUUUUGUGUCUGGAACACGGUGUGGUAAUUGUAGGGGGAUUUAGGACUUUUUUUAUGCGACUGGCGUGUUGUGGGACCUGUGGAAAAUUAUGUGGGGAUUGGGUAAGUGUUGGCAUAUACGGUUCUGGUGUGUGAGGGAAAUGGUGUGGCCAUUUGGAAACCUUUCUUGACGGUACAUGAUGGCUUUUGCGUGGGAAACUGGUCAUUUUGUGUGGGGAUUUCAGUCCUCUUCAUGGGCGUUAUUUCCUCCACUGCAGUGCGGCAUAUGGUGCAUGCAUUUUCACUCCCGUGAAAGUGUCUAAUGAGGGUGUGUCCUUUCUUGCAGGCUCCUCCUCGUGCCCCCGUCCUUGGAGCCAGCGUCUCAGCGAGGGGCCGCAACGUGACAGGAGCGGGACUUGGGGCAGAAGGGCCCCCGGGACGUGUCGUGUCGUGUGGUGUGGUGUCUGCCAGGGUGACUGUGGGCAGCCAGACGGGUGUGCGGGGCCUGCACCCGUCCCUUGGAAGCAGCCAAGGCCCCAGGGGCGAGAGGCUCCUCCUCGUGCCCCCGUCCUUGGAGCCAGCGUCUCAGCGAGGGGCUGCAGCGUGACAGGAGCAGGACUUGGGGCAGAAGGGCCCCCGGGACGUGUCGUGUCGUGUCGUGUUGUGUGUGCAAGGGUCACUCUGGGCAGUCAGAUGGGUGUGCGGGAACUGCACCCGUCCCUUGGAAGCAGCCAAGGCCCCAGGGGCGACAGGUUUUCUACCAACAGUUCCCUGUAUCCUUGAGUACCCAGCAUACUGCAUCGCUCUGCACCAGCAUCGCCCCCGCCAAGAAGAUUGAGAUGGACCGUAUCAUCAUGCCUGAUGGCACUAUUGUGACCACUGUCACCACCAUUCAGUCCAGGCCCAAAGUGGACUGUAAGCUGGAUUCACCUUCAAAGAUCUCUGUCCAAAGUAGAGGCGAUGGGGAAGAAGACAGCGGUGCUUUCAGAGAGCAGCUGUCCCAGCAACACCUCACCCAGCAGCAUGCGUAUGUCCUUUGAUACCUGAGACCUUCCUUAGUAGCAAGAAGCUCCAUCUCCAGUGGCAAAAUGUAACUCAUUCUCUUGACCGUAUUGUGUCGGAGACGCUCACUUGAUUAACAUGAUCCUUAGAAGGCAGGGUAGUUUUGCACCUUAUAGACAAACCAAAGUGUGUGCAUGUGUGUAAAUACACGCACACAGAGCACAAGGCUUUAAUGGGCUGAAGCUCACUUUAUCUGUGUGUACACAUGCGUAUGUGUAUGUGCACAUAUGUGUUGUCUCUGUGAUUAAUCUAUAAGGUGCUUAUCUACUCGGCCAGUUACUUGACUUGAAGCUAACAUGGCUAAGCGUCUCUCUGCUUACCAUCCUUUGCUUCAUACAAUACUUAAAAAUACUGGGGAGGGGGGAGAUACAGGGUGGGGAGGAAGAUGGUAAGGAUGGAGUAGUUAACUUUGUUGUCAACUCUAAGUUCCUUGUUGCUUAUCUGGCAUAUCCAUAAGGUAUCUCAACCUGGAGGGCUUUACAAAUUCUGCAUUCGUGAGUUGCUUCUCCGCCCCUGGCUAGAACAUAUUCUGUUAAGCAGGGCAUGACGGAAAUUAGUUGGGAGUUCAGGACGAGAAUUGAAACCGAAUUCCAUAUGCACCUGAAGCUGCCUGAAAGAAGGAGAUAGUGUCCAAAUAAAGUGAUCAGAAUUGAAAUGUUGCCAGGAAGUUAGCAUUAUAUCCCUAAUUUAUAAAUGUUGGAAAAUUUAUUAAUGCUUGUAAGUGGUUUGAGACUGUGGCUUUAAAUCUCCAUUCUGUUCUUGACUUCUCCAAGACAUUCUGCUUUUGGGUCAGCAGUCUUUUCAGCAAAUAACUAUUUUUUUCCCCCUAUGUACCACCCCCCCACCAACCCACCCACCCUUGUUUGGCUCCAUGUUAAAAGGAGUUGUGGUCUGCAAGUGACUUGUCUGCUCAGGGGUGCCUUUUUUGUGAAUAGGGGAGAGUCAUAUGUGCAAUGGCUUGGAUCCUGUGGCAGAGACAGCGAUGAGGCAGUUGACGGAAAGAAACAACACAUCUGUCAAGUAAAGCCCGACAAUGCACAGCCAAGAGGAGCAGGGUCCUAGCCAGCCACGGUGGAUCCACCCCUAGCUGCUGGUUGGCUAAGGUGGUUGGCACUCCUCAUUGCUGAUUGGCAGCGGGGGCUGCCUGUUGGCAAAUGGAUGUCCUGUGUUCUGGGGUUGCUAACUACUGAGCAAUAGACCCUAAAGCAGGGGCUUUCAACCUUUUUUGGUUGGGGUACCCCCAGAGGCCAGCCCAGAAGCAGGGAGUCCCCCCAGUGGAUGGAUAAGUGGGGGGGGGAGGAAAUUGGGGGUUCCUCAGUGGCAGGUGGAGGAGGAGCGGGGGUCCACCACAGCAAAACGGCACUGUGGUGGCAAAAUCAGAAGUGUUGCUGGCAAAACUAGAAGUGCGCCCAGCUUCUCCACUGCACUGCCACAUGCCUCCUGGGGCCUUCCUAAGUACCAGUUGACAACCCUUGCCCUAAAUUGGCCUGAGGUCAUAACUUGCUCAGGAGUAUCAUGACAGGCAGAAGAGCAAUGGGAUGAAACUGAAAAAGAGAACUUCAGCCAAGCAUUUGGAAAAGGAUUUUCUUGUAACAGAAAGGAAGGAGUCCUGUCCACUCCCAGUGGGUUUAGAUUUAUGGUGCAGCAUGACAUUGCAGUCUGUGCCUCAACCAAGGAAGCAGAGACAGUGUGAUAAGCUAGGAACAAAAUAGGAUAUUAAAUGAUUGACCUCUACUCCAGCACCCCUGCAUCCUGUGCCAUUGCUUAGCCACCUCCAUUGCAGAACAUUUCACUGCCACAACUUGUCCUCUUUGGCCUGCAAGUUGUAAGGGUGUGUCUGUACCCCUGGCACUUCACAUUUCACUUUUAACUCUCCCUCCUUCUACCCUGCUCUCCCUCUACCACGUCCCCAAAGUGAGACCUUUCACAGGUAGUUUUGGAUCAAACAUCUGUCACGGUCUGCGCACCGAUUCCAACAGAGGUUUGAUAACAUGAGACACGUGAAGCCUUCCAGUGGCCACUGAGGACAAUUUCCCUUGAUGCAUACGAAGUAUGAGAAUCCGUUGACACGCGCAUCUGACGCGCGAGGGGCUCAGAGAAGUGGAAACGAGCAACUGUCCAAUCUACAGCCAAAGUUUUCCACGAUGGAGACCCGCAGGCGGACGAAGGGGCAGCUCCGGAAACGCCAGUGCCCCCGCGCGCCGCGAGAGCCCCGGCCCCGGCCUGACUUCCGCCCGGCAAACCGUGGGUGGGGGGGCGGGAGCAGCAGUCGAGCACGGGGCUGGGAGCGGGACACCCGGGGACCCGCCACGGCCAAGGUCUCCUGUUCAAGGCGCUUUUCCAGCCGCGGAGCCGUGACGUCCGUCCCCGCGCGCGGAGCUCAGGGGGGAGCGGAGGUGGCUGAUCCGCAAGGCGCACGGUCCAGGCCACAGGGCCGGCGACUGAUGAGGGGCCACUGCGGGCGCUGCGCAAGCGCGCUAACCUAGUAUCGAUAAAUGCGGCGUUCAGCUGAUCCGCCUGUUGAUGCGCAUGCGAACUUGCCUUGCCAAUUGAAGGGCAAACUCGGUGCCCACGCGUGCCUAAGUGCGCGUGCGGGGAAAUGGUAGCUAGUUCACGUUUUCUUCACCCGCCACCUCUACUCCGCAUGCGCAGUGGUUUAAUGACCCAGGCGCUUUCCUGAACACCGGCUCUGAGCAGCGACGGUUGCGGCCCCGGAGUGAUAGGGAAGGUAGCGUCCCUGUCUGCUCCCUCAAUGAAUGACCGGACGGGGCGAACCUAUGCGUUUGUUCCCAGUACGCAUGCGCGUUGGGACUCGGGCCUCGAUAAUGUUGGAGACCAUCCCUGGGUGCCUCAGUAGCCGUGGACACCGGUCAAUGAGUUCGGCACUAGGCAACACCCCCCCCGGUUUCCAGGACGCAUGCGUCAAUCCACAAUACCGGUAUUUGAUGUGUUUGGCCUCCAAUCGAAACGCAUGCGUACUUCUUCGUGCUCAGCCUCUAACACCCAGGCACAUGCGCACUUGCUUUGUCCGUUGAUAGGCAAAGAUGCUGAGCUGCCUAUUCCCAAGUGCGCAUGCGUGCUCAUGGGCAGUCCGGACUGGGAGGCAGCUGUGCACAGCGCAUGCAUCCUGUGUCUCCCCAGUGACAGUUUAGCAACGCGGCCGUUUGCCCGGACAGCGCGCUCCGCUGGCUGCCUUCGCGCACACGCCUGCUGGGUCAGCCAUGAUUUCAUCCCACGAUUGCGAACAACUUUUGGAGUGGCGUUCGCACUGGGGCCUCCGGAAAAAUGGCUUCAACACGCUGGUCGCAUUCCUGCACCCGGAUUUUGCGAUCCGUGUGGCUGCGGCUGGGGCCCCAACUAACAGAGAGGAGUAAGGGGGCGUAUUUCUGCCCCUCCAUCUUCCCGCGAGAAUUGGACGCCAUCGAUCAGUUUUACUGCGCAUGGGCAGCGCGAUUGGCACCUUGAUCGUUUCAGUGCUUGUCACGUCAUUACCGCUGUAACCAUGGAAACCCAUCAAUGACUCCCUUUAUUGCCCUUUGAUUACCAAGACACAUGUGCGAUCGACAAUACCGGUGAUCGAUGUGUUUUCCCUGCCACCAUUGCGCAUGCGUAGUAACCGGGAUUAUCAAUAAAUUUGGUUAUUAGCUGAUCACCCUGUCAGGCAGGUCACCACGGCCGGAAUUCUUUUGGCAUUUGAGGGGACAAUGCUGUGGUCACCUGUACACAAGUGCGCAUGCGUGCUUUUGGUCAUUGGACUGGGCGCUAGUGUUCUGCUCGGCAUGCGCACUGGGUCUCCCCGGAGUUUAACAGCGUGCCUGGGGGUGCGUUUCCGGAGGGACAGGGGAGCGGACGUCCCUGCUUCUUUCUCCCUGUAUUGGCACUUGCUAGCGGCCCCCGAUUCCCAGAAUGAAUGGGUGUACGGCUUCCCCAAUCUAUAUAAUAAGGGGUCGAUGCGUUUACUGGAAGUACAGCGCGUGAUCACUUAAGCAAUACAAUGGAUGAAUUAGGUACCUAACUGCUGGAAGGACCCGACCCGACCUAGCGCACGCGUGCUUCCAUUGCCCAUUGAAGGGCAAAGACCGUGCACCGCCUCUUCCCUAGUGCGCAUGCGUAGUCAUUUCCAUGCCUCGAUGAUGACAGAAUUGCAUUGGGCGCCAAUCCUUUCCUGCGGGUGUCCAAUGGUUGUCCCCCAGCGAUGGGUUGAAACCACAUGUUUUCCCGCUCGGCAGCUUCGCGCCUCGGGCUGGCUGAGGCUGCAGAACCAGAGUACCGGGGGGAACGCCGUGCCCCUUCCCCGAAGUAUUGCUCCCCACGCACUUCGGAUUGUAACCCUUAUUCACACUACACAUGUGCAGAUAUGCCCCAAUCUACAAGAUCAGUGUUUGAUGUAUUUUGUCUGUGGCCAGCGCGCAUGCGCGAUGCACCCCAUUUUCAUUAAAUUCCGUUUAGCCGCUCCAGUCCGCGCGCAUGCGUAUUUGCUUUCCCAUUCAAAGGCAAAUGCACAGCACCGCAUCUUGUCAAAUACGCAUCCGCUUUUAUGACCGUUCGGUAGUUCGUCGCCUGGGUGGGAGUGUGGUUUCUACAGUGCGUGCGCUCUGGGUUUCAAUAAGCGCUAGUUUAAUGCCGCGGCCGCUUUCCCAGGUUCCGCCGCUGCGACCUCGGUAGCUGCAGCGGCGGACCCGGAAUAAGACGGGAGGGAGUGCCCCUGUCCUUUCCUACGAGUAUGUCCCCCGGACAGAACUGUAGCGCUCAUUCCCAGCCCGCAUGCACGUUGAGAUUGGUGUCUUGAGAGUUUCGGCGCUCGUCAUGCCGGCACUGCCUCUGUAGCCAUGGGAACGUGUGAGUGGCUCUUGCUCUGGUAGCUUCCCCUGAGUCUCGCGACGCAUGUGCCAAUCCAGGAUAUCGGCGAUCGACAUCUUCCUUGCGCCCAGGCCGCAUGCGCUUCUUGCAGUACCAUCGAUUAAUUCGGAGUUCAGCGGGUUCAGGUGUUAUUUCAUCCGCAUGCGUAGUUGAUUUCCCCAGCGAAGGGCAAACCCUAUGCACCAGUUCUUCCAUAGUGCGCAUGCGUAUUCCUGGCCGCUCAUCGAUGUUUUCGUCCCACGACUGGGAGCCUGGCUCGUGAAGCUGCUGCGCACUGCGUUAUCUCUAGCUGUUCUUAUCGUCAGGGCUGUUUUCCCCAACACUGCCUUCACAGCCUGCGUGGGUGUGGUUCCCAGCUGGGAGAGACGCAGGGUGCGGUACACCGCCAGGAGUAUUUAUCCCAGUAGGAAUUGUCGGGCUCAUUUGCAGGCCGUAUGCAUACUUAAACGUCUGGCCCUGACGUUUUCGGCAGUACUCAUGCCAUCACUGUCCCUGUAACUAUGGGAACGCGUGCAUAACUCCUGCUCUGGUACAGCCUACUGACCGUCACGACGCACGCCCCAAUUCGGAACAUCGGCCAUCGAUACCUCUCGUCUGCUCCCAUUGAGCAUGCGCCAUUUCAGUGACAUCGAUAAACUCGGCAUUCAACGGAGCAGUUUAUCACAGCGCGGCGCGUGCGUACUUGUUUUGCCCACUGACAGGAAAAGCGAAGGCCCAGCUUUUCCCAAGUGCGCAUGCGUAUUCAUGGCUGGGCAUCGAUAUUUUCGUCGCGCGACUGGGAGUUCGCCCCGUGCUGCGCAUGCGGCCUGGGCCUAGUCCGAUGAUUACUAACAAGACUGCUGGUUAAACAUACAGGGCGCCGCGCCCCGGGUUGAUACAGCUGCGGACCCGGAGUGAGAGUGGAUGCGGUGUCCCUGCCUCACUUCCCCUGAGUAUUGGCUUAGCCGGGAGCUGUAGUGCUCAUUUAUAGUGAGCCUCAAUUAGUUUUGGCGAUCGUCUUGUUGUCAGUGCCCGUGUAACCAUUGAAAUCCAUUAGUAAUUUCGGUGAGGGAACAGUCCCUCAUUCUCAGAACGCAGGCGCAACCGGUUUCACGACACCUACAAGCGCAUGCGUAUUUGCGUUGGCCAUUGAUGGGCAGGUGUGAUGCACCAUGUCCUGAACUGGGCAUGCGUGAUCAAGACGUCUCCGUGCUACGCAUGCGCACUGGCUCUCCCCAGUAACGUUUGAUCGGCGAACACGUGUCCCCGCACAGCUACACCGCGCUGACUGGGAGGGGCAUCCCUGCUGCCCUUCCACCUACUGCCCAGCCCCCCUGGCGGGGUUGUACUCUGUCCCGGAUGCGGCCAGUGACUGUACGGGCAGGCCCGGCCUUUGAGGGAACGGGGCGGGCGUGGUGCAGCAAUCCCGGCAGGUCGCGCGGGAAGCGUGGGCCCUUUCCGGGCAGUGCGGGGUGUGAAAGGUCAGGAGACCGUGGUGGUGCUGGAGGAGCGCGGUGGGGUCUGGGGGCAUGUUUCUGCUACUGUGUGGGAAUGUGACUUUUUGGUGGGGAGAAAACUGGUAAUUGUGUGUGGUGCCUUGUUUUUUUGGAAAUAUGGUGGUUUUGUAUGGAAAACGGGUGAUUUGGGUUGUGGAAUUGUGGGUGGACAUAUUGUCACUGUGUGUGUACAAAACUGUGUGGUAAUUUUCAGGUCAUUUGAGACCUUUUUUGUGGGACUGAUGUGUUGUGGGACCUGUGGAAACUGUACAACAAUUGGGCUCCUCCUCGUGCACCCGUCCUUGGAGCCGGCAUGUCAGCGAGGAGCUGCAGGGUGACAGAAGCGGGAUUCAGGCCAGAAGCGCCCCCAAGAGCUGUCGUGCUUGUCUGGUGAACAUGUUUGUUAUUACCCUGACAUAAAAUAGUUUUCUGAUAGCAUACUGUUAGGUUAACAAUAAUUUAGAUUAUUAAGAAAUAUUAGCUUUAUAGCUGAAUACAAGGCAUGACCUGUGGCCUAGCAAUGUUGCUGACCACAAGGCAGAAUGAUAGCUAAGCCUUUGCUUAUGUUAAGUAAUCAUUUUAACUGUGUUUACCAUUUUCUGAGUAAAAUGCAGCAAGUGAAUCUGUGUCUGUGUGCUGUAAACCAGAUACAGCAAGGAACAAGAUAACACAAAGAAGCCGUUGUUCUAAGUACAGUGAUCGUGUCCUUAAGAAGUAUCUACCACUGUGCAAGUUUUUGCUAACUAUCAUAAUGUUACUGUUACUUAACUUUAGCUUUUAGAAAGUGCUAGUUCAGCUUAACAGAAAUAUGCUGUUAUGAAGAUCUGUGAAGCACCGCCCAAGUAUUGCUUUUGUUAACCCUGUAGUCUUGCCUUAUUGUAAAAAGUAUAAAAGAACGCCCCACCCGUUAGGGGGGGCCAUUUUGCUUCUUUGCUGGCUUAAUGGUCUUUGCUCGAGCAAAUAUACUACAGUAAAAACUUUACCCGUGUUGCUUGGUUCCUAUGCAGCUAGACAACGAACUCCAGGGAGUUUUCUCCCACCACAUUUGCAAAGGUCAUUCCGGGCACUCAGACAGCUGUGCGGGGCCUGCAGCGGUCCCUUGGAAACAGGUAAGGCACCACGAUCGACAGGUACGCUCAGCGGACAGAACGCACCAGCGGUUGCCUAGGCUUCUGCCUGGACGCAUGUCAUUCCCAUGCCUUGCUCCAACUGUAAUGCCUCCAGUGACUGCAGCUCUUUCCUCUAACUCAGGAGUAGGCUGCGCUGCCCUGCUGGCUGCCCCAAGGUGCAUGCGCAGUCGCCGCCAGGGUGGAGCUGAUGUUGAAGCUUUGGAGCCCGGUGCAGCUGUUUGCAGCCUGCCUGCUGCUUGCUUCAGCUGCCCAGAGCCCGGGCUGGCUACAAACAGCUGCACUGAGCUCCGGAGCACAGUCACCAGCUCUGUGCUGGCAGCGGGGGAGACACUGGGGUUGUGCUGCCACAGGCCUCUCCCCCACCGCCCACUCUGAUGCACAGAUGAAAGCGCCGGUAUAGAGCUCAUGCCUGGGCUCCGGAGCCUGGCACAGCUGUUUGAAGCCUUUUGCCUGCAGCUGGCCCUGGCUCUGGGUAACUGCUGCCAGCCACAGAGCCCGGGCUGCUCCCAGCGGGCAGUUCAGACACUGCAAGCCCUGCUGGGAGCAGCCCAGGCUCCAGCAGCUACCCAGAGCCCGGGCUAGCUGUGGCGUGCCGAGCAAAAUGGCCUCGCAUGCUAUGCUCAGCACGCGUGCUGGGGGUUUCCACUCUAACUGCUUGUAGCACCCUGCAAAAGCAAUUACCUGCCCCUUGGCUUGCUGGAUCCUGAGGGCCCAGACCCCACAGACUUUGUAUUCUCUUUCCCUGCGUGCGGGUGAGGUGUGGAGCUCUUUGAUCUCUGCAAGCUUCAGGCCUUGUUAGCCACCCACCCUUAUGUGUUCAACAACCAGCCCCUGUGACUGUCCUACCUGACAGCUUCUGUCAGCCUCUCCUAGUUUCAUCCUUCCUUGCAAGGCUUCCCAUGAAAUUCCUUGUCAUGUUUUAGUCUGCAGCAGGGCUGCACCACUGUUUCCCAGGUUCCUUUAGUGAGUUGUAGGGGAGCAGGGGGAGAGUGCUUCCUUGACCCCCUGCUCUUUGCUUCUGUCAGCUUUAAGCUAUUUAUCUGUUUUAGUUCCCCUUUUCCCUUCUCCGCUGCCUGUGCUGGCAUUGUCUCCUGUCUGCGCAGGGCUUUGCUUUAACCCAGGGGUGGACAUGCAUUUCGGCCUGCAGGACACAUGAGCAGUUCUGGGGAGCUGCAGUGGGCUGGUCAGCACCCCCACACUCUUAAUAGGUAGGAAUCCGUCCCCCUAUUUCUUCUCCCUGCCACCGCCAAUACUCCACAUUCGCAGCCCGGACCCUGGCUAGCCCCACGCCUACUCCAGACUCACCCUGGCUAGGGUGGACCAGCCUGAACCUGCGUGCACACCCCUGAGCACAGCCCUUCUUGCACCUAUUUUGAACCACCUGCCCAUGCUAAGGAGUGGUGUUGGUAGGACAGAAGCUGCCGCUCCAAUGUGGGAGAAACGUGGCCACUCCUCACCCUGGCCAAGCCCUGCUUGCUGCAGCUGCCUGGAGUCCCCACCUGGGUUGCCCUUCAGCUCCUCACUGCUGCCUCUGGGCUGCCCAGCAGGGCAGCCGUGGCACUGCAGCAGAACCACAGGGCAGUCUGGGCAUGGGCUUUGAGCAGUUGCAGCAAGAAGGUCCUGGCACCUGGGAAGUUUGUGGGGCCACUGUUCCCUCGUGUUGAGUAGCAGCUUCUGGUUUGCCAUCACCAGUAGUGCUGCUGCUCACCAUGGGCGGACAAGUCUGAAGCAGUAUGUGGUGUUUCUGGCUUGUCCGUGGAUGGUCCUGUUCACUGAGCCCAGAGCACGAGUGGAUUAGGUGUGCUUGGAGCUGUGUCGGAGCUAGAGAGGCAGUUAAGCAGCAGCCCUGCUGUGCAGCCACGUGGUGGCGGGAUGCGCCAUGGCCUGGAUGCCGUCUGGGUCAGGUAGGGCCGAGGGACCCGCCGCAGGCCAAACCGAAUCCCUUCACGGGCCAGAUCUGGCCUCCAAGCUGUAUUUUGCCUACCUCUGGUAUAAUGGAAUGCAUGUGUUACACCCAGAAUGUCUCUGGAGAAGUACAAGAGAACCAAAGCAAGUACCUUCAUAAAAUGUACACCAGAUUAUUGGGACAUUAUUAAUCAGGCACUUUUGCCAAGAGCAGCUACUUACAGCAGGGAAUACACAGAUGUAGUUAGAACUGGGGCAGCCAGGUGCCAAUGUAGCAGAAAGCCCCCUUUUCCUCUUGCCUGCAUUUGCUCUCCCCUCUUUGGAUAUGUUUCUCUUUUUCUACCUUUUCUUCCUUCCUCUCUCUCUCACUUUAAGAUAAGGAAUUGUGUUUUAAUAUGUGUGUGUGCGCAUUUUGUAUCUCCCUUUUUAUUUUGGUAUGUUUAUCUAUUUGUGUGCCAUGGCAUUUGUAGUUUAUAUUUUAUACUCCUCACCUUUCAACUGAAAGUGUUUAGUUUCAUAAGUAAGUUAUACAUUGUAACAAUGUUAACAAGGAAUCACACUGCCUUUCCCUGUAUCAGGCUGGCCCCUGAAAGAGGGAGUGAAUCAGUGAUUGAAUGUGUAACAAGGUAGCACACAGCAAUUAACACCUGGGAAGCUGCAGAUCAACCAAGGGAAGAACUCAAUAGAAGACAAUGUAACAACCUGGAAAUCUCUAAACUGCUGAUCAAGGGCUAGAAGCCCUGGCCUGAGUUAAUCAAUGCCGGGGACCAACUUUUGUGCUGAAUAUCUCCAAAUCGACCACUCCCAGAGUCCUAUUCAAAAAUCAUCAAUGGACUCCCAAACCUGCACGUACAUGCGGAUGACCCCUGGGGCUGACAGAUGCCGUCCAGUAGCCACCGGGGGGGGGGGGGGGGAAGUCCCACGAGGGUCAAUGACCCCUGGAUUGGGCAAACCUGAAAACUGGGGAGUCACCAAAGUCUGCCAAGGACAGAUAAAAGGCAGUGAAAGGUGACCCUCAGUGGUGCCCUCUUGAUCUCCAACUUGACCAGACCUGUCCAGCCAGAAGGACCAGCUGGCAACCCCUCUCUGGAGGAUAACACCAUGCUGAAAGAAGCCUCAACGACAGACUUCAGCACUUGUAGAAUAGGUAUACCUGACUCUGUAGCCUGCUACUGUGUGUGUGUAUGUGUGUGUGUGUGGGGACCAGCCCCAAAGUUUGAUUACAGUGUUUCAAUCCGCCUAAUAAACUAGAAUUUUAAGGA